rnacentral:rRNA from 1 species
GGCCUUGACAUACUAAGAACUUCAGAGAUGGAUUGGUGCCUUCGGGAACUUAGAUACAGGUGCUGCAUGGCUGUCGUCAGCUCGUGUCGUGAGAUGUUGGGUUAAGUCCGCAACGAGCGCAACCCUUUUCCUUAUUUGCCAGCGGGUAAUGCCGGGAACUUUAAGGAUACUGCCAGUGACAAACUGGAGGAAGGCGGGGACGACGUCAAGUCAUCAUGGCCCUUACGGCCAGGGCUACACACGUGCUACAAUGGUCGGUACAAAGGGUUGCUACCUCGCGAGAGGAUGCUAAUCUCAAAAAGCCGAUCGUAGUCCGGAUCGCAGUCUGCAACUCGACUGCGUGAAGUCGGAAUCGCUAGUAAUCGCGGAUCAGAAUGCCUCGGUGAAUACGUUCCCGGGCCUUGUACACACCGCCCGUCACACCAUGGGAGUUUGUUGCACCAGAAGUAGGUAGUCUAACCGCAAGGAGGACGCUUACCACGGUGUGGCCGAUGACUGGGGUGAAGUCGUAACAAGGUAAGCGUAGAUGA